AAGAUAUACCUCAAUCCGAGCGAUCCGGUACGGGUUAGUACCACAUCAGUCGGUUACGUGAGUAGUCUCC
rnacentral:pre_miRNA from 1 species